AAGAAGAAGAGAAGGAAGAGAAGAAGAGGAGAAGGAGGAGAAGGAGGAGAAAGGGAAGGAGAAGAAGAAAACAAGAAGUACUAAAGCCCUAAGCUGGACGCCUGCUUGACUUGUCCAAAGAACUGUGAAGCAAGCAGUGUGUCUAAAGCUCAGUGAACAAGGAAGAAAGUGGUAGGUAGUGAAGCCAGAGGCGUAGCCAGAGGUCAGAACCCAAAGGCCAUAGGACUUUGGAUCUCAUUGUAAAUGUAAUAAGAAGCCAAAGUGUCACAAGCAAGGAGAUGGAAAUCAGCUAAUUUGUAUCUUAGAAGGAUUGCUCUGCUGUGUGUGGUAUCGACUAGGGUGGGUAGGGACUUAGGAGAAACACAGACCAGCUGGGAGGUUGCUGUUGUGGUCCGAGCCAGAGACAAUGAAGGCUUGGAUUAGGAGGUGAGAAGAGAUAUUUGAAAGUAAAGCUCAUAAAUGUUGCACAUGGGUGGAAUAAGGAAGGAGGCCUCGGUCUUUUCUCUGAAGGACUUCAACUGAUUGGAUGAAGCCCACUCAUGUUAUGAAGGAUAAUCUGCUUCACUCAAAGUCUACUGUUUUCAGCGUUAAUCACAUCAGAGAGUACGUUCACAGCAACCGUCUACACUGGUGUUUGGUCAAACGACGGGGCACCAUAAAAUUAACCUUCACAGGUGGGACUAGAUGAAGUUACCCAGGAAGUUAAUAUAUUUAAGGAAAUGAGGAUGGUCCAGGAACGCAAAGUGCAAAGGAGGAGAAGGGGCCAGCAAAGGAGCCUGAGAAGAAACUGGAGGGAGGUGGGAGAGAAACCAAGAGAAUGUGGUGUCUCAGAGGCCAGUGAAGAAAUGCUCCCCGAAGGAGGAAGACCAACUAGAUGAGAAAUACGACAAGAUACAAACCGAGUCAUGAAAGUCAGUUGUUGUUGAUUUUUAUGAAAACGAUGGAGGAAACAAAGCCUAAUUAGAGGACGCUCAACCAGAAACAGAAAAAAGGACAUGAAGGUAGUGAGGACUGCCAACUCUUUGAAGGAGUUUUGGUAUAAAAACACAAAAGAGGGAAAGUAGCUGAAGAGCAACAUAGGAUCAAGGAGGGUGUUUUGUUUAGUUUUAUCUAAGAAGGAAAUUAUUAUAGCACGUUUUUAUGCUGAGAAACCAAUCUAGUAGAGCGAAAUUUGGCAAUUUUCAAAGAGGAAAGGAGCAAGAGGAGGUCAUUACAGAGGCAAAAUCCUGUGAAUGUGCAUCCAUUGCACAGCGUCGACUUCAGUCAAACCCAGGCUCGAUCAGUGACUAGACUAUCCAGUUACUCCGCCUCUCAGCUUCCUUAUCCUCUUUCUACUAGACCCUCUUUGGUCCUUCUACCUCUUUAUCUCACCCAAAUCUGCCCUCCGUCUCUACAGCCCAGCCAUUAGCCUUUUUUCAGUCUCUUUAAUUACCUAACCACAGGUCUUUGCUAACUCCUCCAGUUUGCUAACGACUCCAGUCGUUCAUCAGAUCUGAGAACAAGCAUGCCUUCCCGAGGAAACUACCACAUAGGUCAAAUCCCCCAAUGAGGUGCUCCUGUGUUACAAUGCAUUCUUUCUGCCUGCUACUUAUCACAACUGCAGUUAUAUUUUUAUAGACGAUUAUUUGAUCAAUGUCGGCCUCCCCCUAGAAUAGCACAGCUCAACAGAAUUUUCUGUGAUGAUGAAAUGUUCUAUAUCAGCACUGUCCAACCCACAUGUGAUUACUGAGCACUUAAAAUGUGGCUGGUGCAACUGCAAAUCUUAAGUUUUUAUUUUAUUUAGGUUUAAUCUGUUUAAAUGUAAGUAGCCACAUGUAGGCAGGGUCCAGGAUUACUUAUGCUCACCACAAUGUUCUCAGUACUUAAAACAGUGUCCACACACAGAACAACAACAACAACAGUGCCCACACAUAGUAAUAGCUCAAUAAAUAUUUCUUGGAAGACUCAAUCUGUAAAAUGGAGAUAAUACUAGUUAAUUUGUGGAUUCCAUCUUUUUCGGAGGAAAGGAAAAAAGACUUUACAUGGCAACUCUCAGGGGUUCUCAGCCCUCCUACAAAGAUGAAUUUGCCCUUUUAGUUUGAUCCAUCCCAGAGGGUAGCAGGGAUAAUGAAUGAGAACUCUUUGGGUGGCCUGAAUGAAAUAAUAUCUGUAAUAUGGCUAGGAGCGUGCCUGAAACAUAGUAGGUGCUCAAAUGUGGUGGGCCAUCAACUUCAAAUAGGGAAAGCAAAUAAUGAUGUGGGACAAUUGGGGAAGGCCUCACAAAGCAAGUGAUCUGAGGAAUAAUGAAGGUAAAAGUAAUGGGAGUGGGAGAAAUACCUGAGAAUGUUUCUGUGCUUGCUGAAAAAACCCUCAGGUAUAGAAAGAUAAUUAUCUUGUCCAUGGCCACCUAACUAACAAUCGGCAGAGCUGAGACUGACACCCGAUCCUUGGCAAUUACCACAAUGCUGUUCUAUGUCUUGAACAGAAUUUUUUCUAGGCAGAGGGAGCAAUACGUCUAAAGGCACAGCUGUAGGAAAGAAAUGGUUUCUGCAUGAGAUGCAGAAGCAUAAGCGGAGAUGAAACUAUCAAUAUAUGUUGAAUUCACUUUAGGUUCACAGUGCAGCUAAGUGUCUGGUUCAUUUCCCUACAUUCUCAGUUAAUCCUCCGAAAUCACCUUAAGGUUACACCAUAUGAAAAACUGAAAUUUCAGGAAGUUACGAAUCUUGCCAAAGGUCACAAAAGAGCUGUGUUGGAGUAAGGAUAUACAUCCAUUGUUUGCCUCACAAUUCAGUAGUAAUAUAUAGUGAGGUAGGAGCCAGAAAGAGGCGAAAGCAUCAUGCUAUAGGGACACACACCAAAAGACGCACUGGCUUUCUGACAAAGACCAGGGUAGACUUCAUCCAUGAAACAUCCGCCCUGAAAACUUCGAAAUCCUGCGUGGAGGACCAUGAUCUCUGCGACGCCUUCUUUGACCAAACAUGGAACUAGUCACUCCUUUAUUUCUCACAUCAAGCUACAUCACAACUGUCUGUUUAGGUGUCUGCCAUGCAUAGAACACUCAUUUAUUGAGCACCUCUGUGCCAGGACCUUUAUGUUCUCUCGUUAAUCAAUGCAGUAAUGCUCUGGGAUAUGUAUUACCAUUUCCAUUUGCAGAUGAGUAAACCAAGGUUAAGUGAGUGACCCAAGCCAGGUCUGACAGCUAGUA